UAUCUAUUGAUCUCUGGUAUUUCUUUUUGAUUCUUAGAAUUCCUAUCUCUGUGCUAACAUGUUCUGUUUUUACAUGUUUUUGCUUUAAAGCUUUUAGCAUAUUAAUCCUAGUGUUUUCAAAUUCCUUUCUGGUAAUUCCAACGUUCCUGCCAUGUCUGACUCUGGUUAUGAUGUGGUCAAGUCUCCUCACUCGGUGUUUUGCCUCUCAGUGUGCCCUGUGUUCUUUGGCUGAAAGGUGGACGUGAUGCUCUGGGUGGAAGGAGCUGCACUGGUGACCCUUCAGUGAUUGAUGGUCACAUGUAGGGGGGCGGCAGUCUGUGGUCCUUUGAUGAGGUCUCUGCUUUUGGCGAGUCUGUGCUCCUGGCCUGUGAACUCCAUGAGAACCUCUCAGUGUUCGCCCCUCAGGUCUUGUGAACAAGAACAGAAUCCUCUCGCACAUGCAACAUGGUUCUUUCCCCUCCCCCUGCUGGAAGACGGAGGGGAAUUCUCUCCAGUAUUCCCUUGAAGGACAUGCUAGAGCUCCUGGAGGAUGCCCCCUUCUGCUCAGCAUCUAAAACAAGGGUGUCCCGGAUGCCCUUCUCUCCUCUGUCUACAUCCAUGCCUGGGCAACCUCACCUGACCUCACAGCUUCACGCCACCUGUGCCAGACGCUCCCAGCCCUGCACCCAGCCCUGGCCUCGCCUGACAGACUCUGUCAACCCGACAGCUCCAAGCAGAUGUUCUAAUGAGAGUCUCAGCACCAUGGACAAGAGGUGCUGUCCUGACCCACCCAGGCCUUCCCCUCCCCGUCCCAGGCAUAGAGCUACCAUCCACCCAGGUGCUCGAGACAGAAAGAAAGUGUUGUCCAUGUGUAGUUGAAACUGCGCUUGACGGGCUUGUUCAUGUCGCUCCCUCUUCUCAGGGGACCCUUUCAGCCCCUGCCCACCCUUGUCUCCUGGAAAAUUCCUAUUUAUCCUUUAAGAAUCAGCUCCGGAUCCGCACCUCCAGGCAGAGCUGCUCACAUAAUCUUCCAGGCCCAGCACAAUGUGAAACCGUGGGCAGGGAGUCCACCACCACCCCAACCUGUGACAGGUUGGCCUGAGCCCCUAUCACCACCACCCCAACCUGCAACAGCUCUGCCUGAGCCCCUAUCACCACCACCCCAACCUGUAACAGCUCUGCCUGAACCCCCAUCACCACCACCCCAACCUGUAACAGCUCUGCCUGAGCCUCCAUCACCACCACCCCAACCUGUAACAGCUCUGCCUGAACCCCCAUCACCACCACCCCAACCUGCAACAGGUCGGCCUGAGCCCCCAUCACCACCACCCCAACCUGCAACAGCUCUGCCUGAGCCUCCAUCACCACCACCCCAACCUGUAACAGCUAUACCUGAACCCCCAUCACCACCACCCCAACCUGCAACAGGUCGGCCUGAGCCCCCAUCACCACCACCCCAACCUGUAACAGCUCUGCCUGAGCCCCCAUCACCACCACCCCAACCUGUAACAGCUCGGCCUGAGCCCCCAUCACCACCACCCUAACCUCUAACAGCUCGGCCUGAACCCCCAUCACCACCACCCCAACCUGCAACAGGUCGGCCUGAGCUCCCAUCACCACCACUGCCUCCAGCCUUCCUGUGUGCUCGCCGUCAUCCCGGUUCUGGUCCUAAGUAACUGUUGACAAUAACACUGAUAGAGAGAUGCGAGCUCAGACGUAUUUUAAACUCUGGACAGAUAGAAACUGGUUAUAUAAAACUCCAAAACUUGGAAAAAAUGGAGCAAAGAAAAUGCAGCAAAUUACAAAACAAAACGAAAGCGUGAAAGAGAACUAUCAAGGCAAAGUAAGACCGCGGAGACAGAUCUGAAGUCGUUCAGUCCUUGCGGUGAACGUGAGUGACUCUCAGAGCAGAUUGGAGUUGAGUGGUAUGCAUGUGAGCCAUUGAACAUGAAUGGCUCAGAAAGUCUGAGCAGUACGGAUUGGAGAAUGUGUCACAGGCUCAGAGCGUUAGGGUGCGUCCCCCUCUGAUCACAGGGACCCAGCAGAAACCCCAAGGGCACCCUGGGGAAUGGGGCCAUUGACCUUCUUACCUGGGGUUUGUGAACUUGGAUGGAAGACUGUUGCAUCUUUAUUUUCCUAUUCUUGAAGAGAAGUUUGGUAUUUCUUUCAAUCAUCAUAGGCAACAAGCUGUAGUAAUGGACGUAAUUCUGGAUUCCUAGGACUUCAGCGAGUACCACCACCCCUUUCUUCUAAGCCAGGAUCUUCAGGAGAGUAGCAGACAGAAAAAGAAACGAGCAAACCAAACUUUCUCCAUGGCAACGAGGCCAGCAAAUAGAGGGAAGGUGUCAAUCCAAAAAGCCAUGAAACGUGUGAGAGGCUUCUUCACCCAGCCCCACAGAAGCGGCCAGGAUGUCAGCCCAAGGACACGGAGGACUUGACCAGCGAAGUUGGGGCUGACUUUUGUGGAACUGUUGAUCUCCCUUCCUGUCAUAGAAAUCUAGAAUGCAGUGUGAUCCCAAGCACACAACAAUGGGAUUAAAAAACAAACAAGGGGCCGGUCCUGUGGCCCAGUGGCUAGGGUUGCACACGCUCCACUUGGGCAGCCCAGGUUUGCGGGUUCGGAUUCCGGUGCAGGCCUUCUCCACUCGUCGUCGUGCUGUAAAGGCAUCCCACAUGCAAAGUAGAGGAGGAUUGACACAGACUUCAGCUCAGGGCUAAUCUUCCUCACCAAAAAAAUAACCAAAAAAACAAACAAUAGAAAUUGCAGGAUGAUCUUAAGGAAGAAUCUAUGUAUAGGGUUUUUGUUUGUUUGUUUUAAUAAAGAAGAGUGAUGAAGGAG
rnacentral:lncRNA from 1 species